rnacentral:rRNA from 1 species
GAGAGACCAGAGAAGAAAUGG